UACAGAGGAGCCAAGCGUUGUCCGGAUUGACUGGGCGUAAAGCGCACGCAGGCGGGGGUGCGCGUGGGGUGUGAAAUCUGGCCUCUUAACGGCCAGGCGCCAUCCCAUACGGCACGCCUGGAGCCUUGCAGAGGUCGGUGGAAUUGCCGGUGUAGUGGUGAAAUGCGUAGAGAUCGGCAGGAACACCCAGGGGGAAACCAGCCGACUGGGCAAGUGCUGACGCUGAGGUGCGAGAGCGUGGGGAGCGAACCGG
rnacentral:rRNA from 1 species